GUGAAACAUUUUAAAUACUCAAUUUAAAGUUAUGUGAUUUGAUUUUUGUCUCUUUUUAGCUCAAGCAUUUAAAAUAAAAAAAACUGGAGUUUGAGAAGACCGAACUGAAACAGCAGUACCAAGCACAGGCUGGAGAACUGCUCACCAUCAAAGCCAGAGCUAACAUCACAGGAAACCAGUCAAACAAGUGGCUUUCUCAGCCUCUUUGUUGGACGUUGGUAUGGGAACUGUUGG